GCCAGGGCAGGCCGACCAUUUGAGGUCAGGAGUUUGAGGCCAGCCUGGCCAACAUGGCGAAACCCCGUCUCUACUAAAAAUACUAAAAUUAGCCGUGCAUGGUGGUGGGCGCCUGUAAUCCCAGCUACUCAGGAGACUGAGGCACGAGAAUCGCUUGAGCUCGCAAGGUGGAGGUUGCAGUAAACCGAGAUCGCGCCAUUGCACUCCAACUUGGGUGACAGAGUGAGACUCCGUCUCAAAAAAAAAAAAAAAAAAGAAAAAUUCUGCAAUAACUUGGGUGGAGGCAAAACACUAAUAAAAGGGCUAAAAAGGAAAAUGAUGCUUUUCUUCUAUAUUCUUACUCUGUACAAAUAAAGAAGUUGCUUGUUGUUUGAGAAGUUUAACCCCGUUGCUUGUUGUUCUGCAGCCCUGUCUACUUGGGCACCCCCACCACCUGUUAGCUGUGGUUGUGCACUGUCUUUUGUAGCUCUGGACUGGAGGGGUAGAUGGGGAGUCAAUUACCCAUCACAUAAAUAUGAAACAUUUAUCAGAAAUGUUGCCAUUUUAAUGAGAUGAUUUUCUUCAUCUCAUAAUUAAAAUACCUGACUUUAGAGAGAGUAAAAUGUGCCAGGAGCCAUAGGAAUAUCUGUAUGUUGGAUGACUUUAAUGCUACAUUUUAAAAAAAGAAAAUAAAGUAAUAAUAUAACUC
rnacentral:lncRNA from 1 species